GAUUGAACGCUGGCGGUGGGCUUAACACAUGCAAGUCGUGCGAGAAAGUAUCUUCGGAUAUGAGUAGAGCGGCGGACGGGUGAGUAACGCGUAGGAAUCUACCUAGUAGAAGGGGAUAGCCCGGGGAAACUCGGAUUAAUACCGUAUACCUCCUUCGGGAGAAAGAAGGCCUCUCUUUGAAGCUUUCGCUAUUAGAUGAGCCUGCGUAAGAUUAGCUUGUUGGUGAGGUAAAGGCUCACCAAGGCGACGAUCUUUAGCGGGUCUGAGAGGACGAUCCGCCACAUUGGGACUGAGACACGGCCCAGACUCCUACGGGAGGCAGCAGUGGGGAAUAUUGGACAAUGGGCGCAAGCCUGAUCCAGCCAUACCGCGUGUGUGAAGAAGGCCCUAGGGUUGUAAAGCACUUUAAGUUGGGAAGAAAAGUUAUUGGUUAAUACCCAAUAACCGUGACAUUACCAUCAGAAUAAGGACCGGCUAAUUCCGUGCCAGCAGCCGCGGUAAUACGGAAGGUCCAAGCGUUAAUCGGAAUUACUGGGCGUAAAGCGCGCGUAGGUGGUUUAUUAAGUUGGAUGUGAAAUCCCCGGGCUCAACCUGGGAACUGCAUCCAAAACUGAUUCACUAGAGUACGAUAGAGGGAGGUAGAAUUCACAGUGUAGCGGUGGAAUGCGUAGAUAUUGUGAAGAAUACCAAUGGCGAAGGCAGCCUCCUGGAUCUGUACUGACACUGAGGUGCGAAAGCGUGGGUAGCGAACAGGAUUAGAUACCCUGGUAGUCCACGCCGUAAACGAUGUCAACUAGCUGUUGGAAAACUAUGUUUUUCAGUGGCGCAGCUAACGUAGUAAGUUGACCGCCUGGGGAGUACGGCCGCAAGGCUAAAACUCAAAUGAAUUGACGGGGACCCGCACAAGCGGUGGAGCAUGUGGUUUAAUUCGAUGCAACGCGAAAAACCUUACCUAUACUUGACAUACUUGGAAUGCUUUGUAAUGAAGCAGUGCCUUCGGGAGCCAAGAUACAGGUGCUGCAUGGCUGUCGUCAGCUCGUGUCGUGAGAUGUUCCGUUAAGUCGGAUAACGAGCGCAACCCUUACCCUUAUUUGCCAGCGACUCGGUCGGGAACUAUAAGGGGACUGCCGGUGAUAAACCGGAGGAAGGUGAGGACGUCGUCAAGUCAUCAUGGCCCUUACGUAUAGGGCUACACACGUGCUACAAUGGAGAAUACAGACGGACGCUAAGCCGCGAGGUGGUGCUAAUCCUAGAAAAUUCUUCGUAGUCCGGAUUGGAGUCUGCAACUCGACUCCAUGAAGUCGGAAUCGCUAGUAAUCGCGAAUCAGCAUGUCGCGGUGAAUACGUUCUCGGGUCUUGCACUCACCGCCC
rnacentral:rRNA from 1 species